rnacentral:tRNA from 1 species
GGGUCGUUAGCUCAGUUGGGUAGAGCAGUUGACUUUUAAUCAAUUGGUCGCAGGUUCGAAUCCUGCACGACCCACCA